rnacentral:sRNA from 1 species
UGGCGCCUCCUCCGCCUUCGCCCCAACUGCUUCUCCUGGCAGCCCUGGCGAGGCUCCUGGGUCCCAGCGAGGUGAUGGCUGGACCGGCGGAGGAGGCGGGAGCCCAUUGUCCCGAGAGCCUGUGGCCUCUGCCCCCGCAGGUAGGAGCCCUGGAGGGCCCAGGGAGAGAGGGAUGUGAAAGGCUAGCCCAGUCCCGCUCCGUUCUCGCCGCACCCUCCACAGUCACUAUCUGGGGACCUCUGCCGGUUCCUCAGUCCUCAGUAGCCAAAUUCUCCAUCCCAGCCUAGCGCUUGGGGCCUGCCGUCCCCUCCCCACCACACACACACGGAGUCCCCCAACUGCCCUAAGCUCUGUUCUUUCCCCAUGUAUAGGUGUCACCAAGAGUGACCUACACACGAGUGAGCCCAGGGCAGGUGAGUACAAGCAGGGGCCCACCACCCUUGGUG